GUGUGGUGGAAAGCUUUUGCGGUGUGGGAUGGGCCCGCGGCCUAUCAGCUUGUUGGUGGGGUAAUGGCCUACCAAGGCGACGACGGGUAGCCGGCCUGAGAGGGUGACCGGCCACACUGGGACUGAGAUACGGCCCAGACUCCUACGGGAGGCAGCAGUGGGGAAUAUUGCACAAUGGGCGCAAGCCUGAUGCAGCGACGCCGCGUGAGGGAUGACGGCCUUCGGGUUGUAAACCUCUUUCAAUAGGGACGAAGCGCAAGUGACGGUACCUAUAGAAGAAGGACCGGCCAACUACGUGCCAGCAGCCGCGGUAAUACGUAGGGUCCGAGCGUUGUCCGGAAUUACUGGGCGUAAAGAGCUCGUAGGUGGUUUGUCGCGUUGUUCGUGAAAACUCACAGCUUAACUGUGGGCGUGCGGGCGAUACGGGCAGACUAGAGUACUGCAGGGGAGACUGGAAUUCCUGGUGUAGCGGUGGAAUGCGCAGAUAUCAGGAGGAACACCGGUGGCGAAGGCGGGUCUCUGGGCAGUAACUGACGCUGAGGAGCGAAAGCGUGGGGAGCGAACAGGAUUAGAUACCCUGGUAGUCCACGCCGUAAACGGUGGGUACUAGGUGUGGGUUUCCUUCCUUGGGAUCCGUGCCGUAGCUAACGCAUUAAGUACCCCGCCUGGGGAGUACGGCCGCAAGGCUAAAACUCAAAGGAAUUGACGGGGGCCCGCACAAGCGGCGGAGCAUGUGGAUUAAUUCGAUGCAACGCGAAGAACCUUACCUGGGUUUGACAUGCACAGGAUGCCAGUAGAGAUAUUGGUUCCCUUGUGGCCUGUGUGCAGGUGGUGCAUGGCUGUCGUCAGCUCGUGUCGUGAGAUGUUGGGUUAAGUCCCGCAACGAGCGCAACCCUUGUCUCAUGUUGCCAGCACGUAAUGGUGGGGACUCGUGAGAGACUGCCGGGGUCAACUCGGAGGAAGGUGGGGAUGACGUCAAGUCAUCAUGCCCCUUAUGUCCAGGGCUUCACACAUGCUACAAUGGCCGGUACAAAGGGCUGCGAUGCCGUGAGGUGGAGC
rnacentral:rRNA from 1 species